UGCAGAUCACGGAGGAUCAUUUUUCGGUUUUCCGAAAGCGCCGUAAAGAGCCCAGUCUUUCAAAGCUAUUCCAGCUGCCUGAGCUGUAUAGACAUUUGCUUUUAUUAUGUCUUCUGGGAAUUAGAGCAGUGUUUAUCUUCUUCCCUUCAGACAUUAGAGAUCACAUUACUUCUUGUGUUUGACACAGAAGAGCCGGAGAAGUGGCAGGGAUGCUGAGCUAAGAAACGACUGAAAACAACAGCUAGGAAGAAUGAGUCCAGACAUCACCCAAGCUACUAGGACUUGGAAAGCUAUUGCAACAGCUGCUCUACUCAAAGAGCCAACUCCGGGCGCCCAUAGAUCAAACUGAAAUCCUUGGGAGCAGAAGACUAUUUAUGCUAGCCUCUUAAUUGAACAUUCCUUUGCCAGCCAAGACGUUCCAGGCUCUGCUACACAAAUAAUGCACGCUAAUUUGCAGUUAAGCGCUCUGGUUGGAAACGUGUUUAUAAAUAUCUUGCUCAGCUAAGGAAAGAGCGCCCGACAGAAGGAAGAACCUCAAGACUCUCGUGUUUUCGCAGGCUUUUAAUUAGAAUGAAUUUUAAUAAUUUAAAAACUUGUUUUAAUAUA